rnacentral:rRNA from 1 species
ACUCCUACGGGAGGCAGCAGUGGGGAAUAUUGGACAAUGGGGAAACCCGUGAUCCAGCAAUGCCGCGUGUGUGAAGAAGGCCUGAGGUUGUAAAGCACUUUCAACUGUGAGGAUUGGGAUUUUGGUUAAUACCCGAGAUCCUUGACGUUAGCAGUAGAAGAAGCACCGGCUAACUCCGUGCCAGCAGCCGCGGUAAUACGGAGGGUGCAAGCGUUAAUCGGAAUUACUGGGCGU